UCUUAUGGAUGAGCAAAGAAAGUAGUUUCUUGAGAUGGAAUCUACUCUUGGAAAGGAUACAGUGAA
rnacentral:pre_miRNA from 1 species